rnacentral:rRNA from 1 species
AGAGUUUGAUCAUGGCUCAGAAUCAACGCUGGCGGCGCGCUUAACACAUGCAAGUCGAACGAGAAAGGGGAGCGAUCCCUGAGUAAAGUGGCGUACGGGUGAGUAACACGUGGGUAAUCUACCUUUUGGUGGGGAAUAACCCUGGGAAACCGGGGCUAAUACCGCAUAAGCUCGAAAGAGGAAAGGAGCAAUUCGCCGAAAGAGGAGCCCGCGGCUGAUUAGCUAGUUGGUGAGGUAAAGGCUCACCAAGGCUAUGAUCGGUAGCCGGCCUGAGAGGGCACACGGCCACACUGGCACUGAAACACGGGCCAGACUCCUACGGGAGGCAGCAGUGGGGAAUCUUGCACAAUGGGGGAAACCCUGAUGCAGCGACGCCGCGUGAGCGAUGAAGCCCUUCGGGGUGUAAAGCUCUUUCGGCAGGGACGAUAAUGACGGUACCUGAAGAAGAAGCUGCGGCUAACUACGUGCCAGCAGCCGCGGUAAUACGUAGGCAGCGAGCGUUGUUCGGAGUUACUGGGCGUAAAGAGUGCGUAGGCGGUUUUCUAAGUUUGGUGUGAAAUCUCCCGGCUUAACUGGGAGGGUGCGCCGAAGACUGGAAGGCUAGAGUAUGGGAGAGGUAAGCGGAAUUCCUGGUGUAGCGGUGAAAUGCGUAGAUAUCAGGAGGAACACCUGCGGUGUAGACGGCUUACUGGACCAUAACUGACGCUGAGGCACGAAAGCGUGGGUAGCAAACAGGAUUAGAUACCCUAGUAGUCC